rnacentral:telomerase_RNA from 14 species
GAGAGGAAGGUAGUAACCUAAUAAUACGUCAGCGACUGGUAUGUUUGCCUGCCCUUUUUUUAUUUUGCUUGUCAAUGUAUUUUUUCCAUUUGAGUUUUCUGUUGAUAAGCCUCAGAGUUUUGGUAGGCGCCUAGUGGUGGAAUGGUUGGGCUGGAAUCGGAAUUGAGAUGUGAUGUUAACGGGCCAUCGUGCAUCUUUUUUAAAUUUUGAGCAAUUUGAGUACGCUAGUGCCACUAUGCAUGUUUCAUGUAUACAUGUAUGCGCGGUUUCUGUUCUUGUCGUACUUAUAGAUCGCUACGUUAUUUCAAUUUUGAAAAUCUGAGUCCUGGGAGUGCGGAGCCAUGCAUACAUGUACUUUAUUGUUGCAUAGUAUUGCUAGAGUACACUUUCUCCAUGAUUGUCUGUCUUCUUUACACCAGUUCUGUUUUCUGUCUUAACCUCUUCACUAUCAUGGAAAGUUUCUACCAUUACCACACCCACACACGAACAUUAAGGCUAAUCGUUAUUAGUUCAAUCUCCAUAGCCACACUCUUUUUUUCUUCCAAUAUUUUCCGUCGCUUUCCAAGUGACAGAAAAAAAAGGAGUUUGAAUUAGGCUUGCAAAAGGGACAAUAUAUAUGAUACUGUCACUCCUAAUGUCUAAUUUAUCGUCAACUCUGUAAAGGAAGCAAGAAAGAGAAAGGUUGCUGGAAAUAAAAUUUGUACAAACAAGACGGUUUAUUCUAGUUAUUCCAUUUUUCAGUAGAUUUUUGCCUUUUACUAGAGUCAAUUUAACCAGUAUAAAAGGUUCAAGGAAAAAUCUAUUCACUGAACUUAUCACGAAACCUCAAAUGUGUCAGACGCAUUAAAAAGAUAAAUCAAAAAAACGGUAUGCAAGCGAGUCAAAAGACUGGUACUCCCUUCGUUUCCUGUCCCAUUUUGCCUCAAGCAUUGAAUAAGUUUGCGAGCGAAUAAUAACCGGGGAAAUGAUACAAGAGAAAAUCCAUAAUUUGGGAUCUUCUUGGAUGGAUUCAUUUAUGUAUUUAUUUGCUCAUUUUUGAGGAUCAAUACAAUAUUCUUGUCCUAUCCUUGCUAAAGUAAAGAACGGGCAUUAAUUUCUGAACGGAAAGAAUUGUGUGUUCACUUUAUGGUUUUCGCAUUGUACAUUUUUCAACUUGCAUGAGCAGUCGGUUUCCUCAAUACUUUUUCGGUGCUUACGAAUAAUUUUUGGAACUUCAAUU